rnacentral:rRNA from 1 species
GACGAACGCUGGCGGCGUGCUUAACACAUGCAAGUCGAACGGAAAGGCCCUGCUUUUGUGGGGUGCUCGAGUGGCGAACGGGUGAGUAACACGUGAGUAACCUGCCCUUGACUUUGGGAUAACUUCAGGAAACUGGGGCUAAUACCGGAUAGGAGCUCCUGCUGCAUGGUGGGGGUUGGAAAGUUUCGGCGGUUGGGGAUGGACUCGCGGCUUAUCAGCUUGUUGGUGGGGUAGUGGCUUACCAAGGCUUUGACGGGUAGCCGGCCUGAGAGGGUGACCGGCCACAUUGGGACUGAGGUACGGCCCAGACUCCUACGGGAGGCAGCAGUGGGGAAUAUUGCACAAUGGGCGGAAGCCUGAUGCAGCAACGCCGCGUGCGGGAUGGCGGCCUUCGGGUUGUAAACCGCUUUCGCCUGUGACGAAGCGUGAGUGACGGUAAUGGGUAAAGAAGCACCGGCUAACUACGUG